AGUGAAGUCCAUAGUCUCCUGAUCAUUAUCAUUAGACGAGGACGAGAAAGACGAGCUAAGGUCCACUAGUUGAGGUUCAUGAAACAGAUAACCUUCUUUAGGGACACCCCUCGCCUCCAAUCUAGCCGAAGACCGGAAUCCUUGACAGAAAGUCUUCUUGCCCUUCGCCUUUGGUGAUGCUUUCCCAAUCGGAGUGCAAUCCACA
rnacentral:lncRNA from 1 species